UUUAGAAUACAAACAAUUAAAAGAGCUAAAAACUUGGUUUAGACAGCUCGCCGAUCUGUUAAUUUCCUCUGAGCAGGGUAUAGAAGAAUUUGUAGCUUGUAACAGUCGAGGGCUCUACUACGAUAUCCGCCUGGCCUCUAUAGCAGCCUUCCUUGAUGAUAUCCCUCUAUUUUUAAACCACACGGAUCGCGCACGUAUGCGCCUGAAGGAUCAUUUCAAUUAUAAAGGCGUCAUGCCAUUAGAAAGCCUCCGCGUUUCACCUCUACAUCACAUAAUGUUUGCAUUACAAGGAUGGUUUACUAUGGCUAGAAUCUGUGAAAACACUAAUAUUAACUUUUUACACUUUCGGCCGAAAAGCAAAAAUCCGAAACAAAAUUCAUUUCCUCUUCUAAAAAGCUCUGUGCUUCAGUACAUAUGGUUUUUCAACUCGACUUGGUAUGAUAAGCGAACUAGCCAUGAAGAUGACGAGAGGAUGCUUUCACUGUUCUACACGGCUUUGUCUGCCUAUCCCGAGCUUAAAGACGCAGUAAGCCACUCUUAUAAAACACUCUGAAACAUUUGUACGACGCCGAACCACUCUUCAAUUCUUCUACUGGAAUCGCCCCCUAUUGGAACC